UACGGAGGGUGCAAGCGUUGUCCGAAAUCACUGGGUGUAAAGGGUGCGCAGGCGGGCUGGCAAGUCAGAGGUGAAAGCUCUCGGCUCAACCGAGAAAUGGCCUUUGAUACUGCCAGUCUUGAGUUCCGAAGAGGUCGCCGGAAUUCGUGGUGUAGCGGUGAAAUGCGUAGAUAUCACGAGGAACACCAGAGGCGAUAGCGGGCGACUGGUCGGAUACUGACGCUCAGGCACGAAAGCGUGGGGAGCAAACAGG
rnacentral:misc_RNA from 1 species